rnacentral:miRNA from 1 species
CCCAGUUAAAUCUGAAUUUCAGAGAAGCAAAGGGUAUUUAUAAGUAUAAUUAUGUGUCAUGAAAUGCUUGCAACCAUGGGACAUACUUAUACUAAAAAAUAUCAUUUCAUUCAUUGUUUAUCUGACAUUCAAAUUA